UCUUUCUCUCUGUGUCCUGCCAGUGGUUUUACCCUAUGGUAGGUUACGUCAUGCUGUUCUACCACAGGGUAGAACCACGGACAGGAUACUGGGGCACC
rnacentral:pre_miRNA from 1 species